rnacentral:tRNA from 1 species
GGGGCAAUGGCGAAGUUGGAUGAAACGCAUUGGUCUUAAAAACCAAUACCCAUGUGGUAAACACCGAGGGUUCGAUUCCCUCUUGCCCCAC